rnacentral:SRP_RNA from 1 species
ACUGGGUGCGGUGGCGCGUACCUGUAGUCCCAGCUACUCGGGAGGCUGAGGCUGGAGUAUUGCUUGAGUCCAGGAGUUCUGGGCUGUAGUGUGCUACGCUGAGGUGUCUGCACUAAGUUCAGCAUCAAUAUGGUGACCUCUCGGGAGUGGGGGACCACCAGGUUGCCUAAGGCGGGGUGAACCAGCCCAGGUCGGAAAUGGAGCAGGUCAGAACUCCCGUGCUGAUCAGUAGUGGGACUGUACUUGUGAAUACCCACUGUACUCCAUCCUGGGCAACAUAGCAGGAUCCCGUCUCU